rnacentral:rRNA from 1 species
AGAAUAGUGGCGAAAGGGUGAGUAAUGCAAGGGUAACAUGCCCUUAAGCUGGGGAUAACUCCGAGAAAUCGGAGCUAAUACCGAAUGUGGUCCUUUGAUGGAAUCAUUAGAGGACUAAAGAUGGGGACCCUUCGGGGCCUUUCGCUUAAGGAGUGGCUCUUGUCCUAUUAGCCUGUUGGUGGGGUAACGGCUCACCAAAGCAAUAAUGGGUAGCUGGUCUGAGAGGAUGAUCAGCCACACUGGGACUGAGACACUGCCCAGACUCCUACGGGAGGCUGCAGUCGAGAAUCUUUCGCAAUGGGGGAAACCCUGACGAAGCGACGCCGCGUGGAGGAUGAAGGCCCUCGGGUUGUAAACUCCUGUCACUUGGGAUGAAAAGUGGGGCCAUUAAUACCGGUUCUGCCUGACAGUACCUUGAAAGGAAGCUCCGGCUAACUACGUGCCAGCAGCCGCGGUAAUACGUAGGGAGCAAGCGUUGUUCGGAUUUACUGGGCGUAAAGGGUGUGUAGGUUGCUUGGUAAGUCAGUUGUGAAAUCCUUACUGCUCAACAGAAGAAUUGCAAUUGAUACUACCAGGCUAGAGUUCGGUAGAGGAGAGCGGAAUUCUCGGUGUAGCGGUGAAAUGCGUAGAUAUCGAGAAGAACACCAGUGGCGUAGGCGGCUCUCUAGCCCGAUACUGACACUGAAACACGAAAGCGUGGGUAGCGAACGGGGAUUAGAUACCCCGGUAGUCCACGCCGUAAACGAUGGGUACUAGGUGCAGGUGGUAUCGAUCCCUUCUGUGCCGAAGCAAACGCGUUAAGUACCCCGCCUGGGGAGUACGGCCGCAAGGCUAAAACUCAAAGGAAUAGACGGGGGCCCGCACAAGCGGUGGAGCAUGUGGUUUAAUACGACGCAACGCGUAGAACCUUACCAGGGCUUGACAUGCUGGUGGUACUGGCUCCGAAAGGAGACAGGACCCUUCGGGGAGCCAACACAGAUGUUGCACGGCUGUCGUCAGCUCGUGUCGUGAGAUGUUGGGUUAAGUCCCGCAACGAGCGCAACCCUUGUCCUUAGUUGCCAGCAGGUAAUGCUGGGGACUCUAAGGAGACUGCCUGUGAUAAGCAGGAGGAAGGUGAGGAUGACGUCAAGUCAUUGUGGC